UGACAUAAAAAAUAAAAUCGAAUAUUACGAACCACAGUUUAAAAUUCAAAGAUCUUGGCGGUGUCUUAUAAAACCAGGGGAACCUGUAUCAUAACUCGAUAAUCCACGAUUACCCAACCUCUCUUUGAAAAUACAGCUUGUGUACUGCCGUUGUAAGCAUACCUUUAAAAGAAUAGUAUGCUUUUAUGACUUAAACUAGUUUAACUCAUAUACAUCAGGUCAAAGUGCAGUUAAUAAAGAGGAGACAAUGGGUUACAACCUAAACACAGAUGUGAAAUAAGGAAUUAAAAAUAUUAUGAAAAUGGACUUGGCCGUAAUUAAAUGAAAUACAGAAAAAAUGAAUGUAGAUCUAAGACAUGCACACAUCGCCCGUCACUCUAACCUAAAGG
rnacentral:rRNA from 1 species